UAGUGCAAAAUCCAUCGAGCCAAGAGGAAUACAAAUAUGCAAAAAAAAGCAAGCAAACGAGAGAACGAAAGCAGAAGUGCAUGAGCGGGCCCGCCUGAGGCCAAUGCCAGCUGCUGAGCAGAGGUGCUCUCCUCGCAUCUGCACACACACACACACACACACACACACACACACACACACACACACACAACACUGCCUCAUGAGAUUGCGAGGGCAUUCGAUGCACGUUCACUCCGAUGCCGCUGUGACAUGCACAAGCCCUUGAUGCAGCGUCUCGUGCGCGUCUUUGAGACUUUAGCAAAGAGAGAAGGCGGCGUCACGCCCCCUUCUCUUCUGCGCUCGUCACGUUUGUGUGUGUGUGUGGUCUGCUCAAAUGCCCCGUCAGCAUCUCCGAAGGAUGCGGCGGCUCUUCCACAUACCGGAAACACUUUCUGCUUGGCGUGUACUCAAGUGGCUUUCAUCUUUUCAACCUUCCUCGUCACUUCCUCGCCACUCUUUCUUUCUUCGUCUUUGGUCGUUUGCACGUUCGCUGUGCCUCCUAUGCGUACAUGGUUUCGUGAGACAG
rnacentral:misc_RNA from 1 species